UACAGAGGGUGCAAGCGUUGUUCGGAAUUACUGGGCGUAAAGCGUGCGCAGGCGGUUUUGUAAGACUGUCGUGAAAUCCCCGGGCUUAACCUGGGAAUGGCGAUGGUGACUGCAAGGCUAGAGUUUGGCAGAGGGGGGUAGAAUUCCACGUGUAGCAGUGAAAUGCGUAGAUAUGUGGAGGAACACCGAUGGCGAAGGCAGCCCCCUGGGUCAAAACUGACGCUCAUGCACGAAAGCGUGGGGAGCAAACAGG
rnacentral:rRNA from 1 species